CUACGUAGGGCGCAAGCGUUGUCCGGAAUUAUUGGGCGUAAAGAGCUCGUAGGCGGUUGUGUGUGUCGCUGUGAAAACUCGGGGCUUAACCCCGAGCCUGCAGUGGAUACGGGCAGACUAGAGGUAGGUAGGGGAGAAUGGAAUUCCCGGUGUAGCGGUGAAAUGCGCAGAUAUCGGGAGGAACACCGGUGGCGAAGGCGGUUCUCUGGGCCUUACCUGACGCUGAGGAGCGAAAGCGUGGGUAGCAAACAGG
rnacentral:rRNA from 1 species